rnacentral:rRNA from 1 species
AUACGUAGGUGGCAAGCGUUGUCCGGAAUUAUUGGGCGUAAAGCGCGCGCAGGCGGUCCUUUAAGUCUGAUGUGAAAGCCCACGGCUCAACCGUGGAGGGUCAUUGGAAACUGGGGGACUUGAGUGCAGAAGAGGAAAGUGGAAUUCCAAGUGUAGCGGUGAAAUGCGUAGAGAUUUGGAGGAACACCAGUGGCGAAGGCGACUGUCUGGUCUGUAACUGACACUGAGGCGCGAAAGCGUGGGGAGCAAACAGGAUUAGAUACCCUGGUAGUCCACGCCGUAAACGAUGAGUGCUAAGUGUUGGGGGGUUUCCGCCCCUCAGUGCUGCAGCUAACGCAUUAAGCACUCCGCCUGGGGAGUACGGUCGCAAGACUGAAACUCAAAUGAAUUGGCGGGG